AUUGAACGCUGGCGGCAUGCCUUACACAUGCCAGUCGAACGGCAGCACGGGUGCUUGCCCCUGGUGGCGAGUGGCGAACGGGUGAGUAAUACAUCGGAACAUGUCCUGUAGUGGGGGAUAGCCCGGCGAAAGCCGGAUUAAUACCGCAUACGAUCUACGGAUGAAAGCGGGGGACCUUCGGGCCCCGCGCUAUAGGGUUGGCCGAUGGCUGAUUAGCUAGUUGGUGGGGUAAAGGCCUACCAAGGCGACGAUCAGUAGCUGGUCUGAGAGGACGACCAGCCACACUGGGACUGAGACACGGCCCAGACUCCUACGGGAGGCAGCAGUGGGGAAUUUUGGACAAUGGGCGAAAGCCUGAUCCAGCAAUGCCGCGUGUGUGAAGAAGGCCUUCGGGUUGUAAAGCACUUUUGUCCGGAAAGAAAUCCUUGGCCCUAAUACGGUCGGGGGAUGACGGUACCGGAAGAAUAAGCACCGGCUAACUACGUG
rnacentral:rRNA from 1 species